GACGAACCUUGCUAACGUUAUUCGGAAUUACUGGGCUUAAAGGGUGCGUAGGCGGUGCGGAAAGUUGGGUGUGAAAUCCCUCGGCUCAACCGAGGAAUUGCGCCCAAAACUGCCGCACUAGAGGAAGACAGAGGUACGCGGAACUUAGGGUGGAGCGGUGAAAUGCGUUGAUAUCCUAAGGAACACCGGUGGCGAAAGGCGG
rnacentral:rRNA from 1 species